UUCGCAAUGCCCGAAAGGGUGACGAAGCGACGCCGCGUGUGGGAAGAAGGCCUUCGGGUUGUAAACCACUGUCGGGAGUUAAGAAAUGCAAGGAUAUUAAUAGUGUCUUUGUUUGACUAAGGCUCCGGAGGAAGCCACGGCUAACUCUGUGCCAGCAGCCGCGGUAAUACAGAGGCGGCAAGCGUUGUUCGGAAUUAUUGGGCGUAAAGAGCACGUAGGCGGCUAUGUAAGUCGGUUGUGAAAGCCUUCCGCUCAACGGAAGAACAGCAUCCGAUACUACAUGGCUUGAGUGUGGGAGGGGAGAGUGGAACUUCUGGUGGAGCGGUGAAAUGCGUAGAUAUCAGAGGGAACGCCGGCGGCGAAAGCGGCUCUCUGGCCCAUAACUGACGCUGAGUGUGCGAAAGCUAGGGGAGCAAACGGGAUUAGAUACCCCGGUAGUCCUAGCCGUAAACGAUGGGCACUAAGUAGAGGGGUUUU
rnacentral:rRNA from 1 species